AUUGAACGCUGGCGGAAUGCUUUACACAUGCAAGUCGAACGGCAGCACGGGGGCAGCCCUGGUGGCGAGUGGCGAACGGGUGAGUAAUACAUCGGAACGUGCCCGGUCAUGGGGGAUAACGUAGCGAAAGUUACGCUAAUACCGCAUACGAUCUGAGGAUGAAAGCGGGGGACCUUCGGGCCUCGCGCGAUCGGAGCGGCCGAUGUCAGAUUAGGUAGUUGGUGGGGUAAAGGCCUACCAAGCCGACGAUCUGUAGCUGGUCUGAGAGGACGACCAGCCACACUGGGACUGAGACACGGCCCAGACUCCUACGGGAGGCAGCAGUGGGGAAUUUUGGACAAUGGGCGCAAGCCUGAUCCAGCCAUUCCGCGUGCAGGACGAAGGCCUUCGGGUUGUAAACUGCUUUUGUACGGAACGAAAAGGCUCUGGCUAAUACCUGGGGCUCAUGACGGUACCGUAAGAAUAAGCACCGGCUAACUACGUG
rnacentral:rRNA from 1 species